rnacentral:rRNA from 1 species
UACGUAGGGGGCAAGCGUUGCUCGGAAUUACUGGGCGUAAAGCGCACGUAGGCGGUCUUUUAAGUCGGGGGUGAAAUCCUGGAGCUCAACUCCAGAACUGCCUUCGAUACUGGAAGACUUGAGUCCGGGAGAGGUGAGUGGAACUGCGAGUGUAGAGGUGAAAUUCGUAGAUAUUCGCAAGAACACCAGUGGCGAAGGCGGCUCACUGGCCCGGUACUGACGCUGAGGUGCGAAAGCGUGGGGAGCAAACAGG